rnacentral:rRNA from 1 species
UUAUCCGGAUUUACUGGGUGUAAAGGGAGCGCAGGCGGCAUGAUAAGUCUGAUGUGAAAACCCAAGGCUCAACCAUGGGACUGCAUUGGAAACUGUCGUGCUGGAGUGUCGGAGAGGUAAGCGGAAUUCCUAGUGUAGCGGUGAAAUGCGUAGAUAUUAGGAGGAACACCAGUGGCGAAGGCGGCUUACUGGACGAUGACUGACGCUGAGGCUCGAAAGCGUGGGGAGCAAACAGGAUUAGAUACCCUGAUAGUCCACGCCGUAAACGAUGAAUACUAGGUGUCGGGGAGCACAGCUCUUCGGUGCCGCAGCAAACGCAGUAAGUAUUCCACCUGGGGAGUACGUUC